rnacentral:rRNA from 1 species
AGGACGAACGCUGGCGGCGUGCUUAACACAUGCAAGUCGAGCGGAAAGGCCCUUCGGGGUACUCGAGCGGCGAACGGGUGAGUAACACGUGAGCAAUCUGCCCUUAGCUUCGGGAUAGCCCCGGGAAACCGGGAUUAAUACCGAAUAUGACCUCGGCCGACAUCGGCUUUGGUGGAAAGUUUUUCGGCUGGGGAUGGACUCGCGGCCUAUCAGCUUGUUGGUGGGGUAAUGGCCUACCAAGGCGACGACGGGUAGCCGGCCUGAGAGGGCGACCGGCCACACUGGGACUGAGACACGGCCCAGACUCCUACGGGAGGCAGCAGUGGGGAAUCUUGCGCAAUGGGCGAAAGCCUGACGCAGCGACGCCGCGUGGGGGAUGAAGGCCUUCGGGUUGUAAACCCCUUUCAGCAGGGACGAAGCGAAAGUGACGGUACCUGCAGAAGAAGCGCCGGCUAACUACGCGCCAGCAGCCGC